UACGUAGGUCCCAAGCGUUGUCCGGAUUUAUUGGGCGUAAAGCGAGCGCAGGUGGUUUAUUAAGUCUGGUGUAAAAGGCAGUGGCUCAACCAUUGUAUGCAUUGGAAACUGGUAGACUUGAGUGCAGGAGAGGAGAGUGGAAUUCCAUGUGUAGCGGUGAAAUGCGUAGAUAUAUGGAGGAACACCGGUGGCGAAGGCGGCUUGCUGGACGAUGACUGACGUUGAGGCUCGAAAGCGUGAGGAGCAAACAGG
rnacentral:rRNA from 1 species